GAACGAGAAGGUGACUUCGGUUACUGGACAGUGGCGCACGGGUGAGUAACGCGUGGGAACCUGCCCCGAGGUACGGAACAACGGCUGGAAACGGCCGCUAAUGCCGUAUGUGUCCUGAGGGAGAAAGAUUUAUCGCCUUGGGAGGGGCCCGCGUCCGAUUAGCUAGUUGGUGAGGUAAUGGCUCACCAAGGCGACGAUCGGUAGCUGGUCUGAGAGGAUGAUCAGCCACACUGGGACUGAGACACGGCCCAGACUCCUACGGGAGGCAGCAGUGGGGAAUAUUGGACAAUGGGGGCAACCCUGAUCCAGCAAUGCCGCGUGUGUGAUGAAGGCCUUAGGGUUGUAAAGCACUUUCACUGGUGAAGAUGAUGACGGUAGCCAGAGAAGAAGCCCCGGCUAACUCCGUGCCAGCAGCCGCGGUAAUACGGAGGGGGCAAGCGUUGUUCGGAAUUACUGGGCGUAAAGGGCGUGUAGGCGGCGGUCUUAGUCAGGCGUGAAAGCCCGGGGCUCAACCUCGGAAUAGCGCUUGAUACUGGAUUGCUUGAGACCGGAAGAGGGUAGUGGAAUUCCCAGUGUAGAGGUGAAAUUCGUAGAUAUUGGG
rnacentral:rRNA from 1 species